CACACCGCCCGUCACGUCAUGAAAGUUGGAGACACCUAAAGUCGGUGGGCCAACCCGCAAGGGAGGCAGCUGCCUAGGGUGGAGCCAGCGAUUGGGACG
rnacentral:rRNA from 1 species